rnacentral:rRNA from 1 species
AUUUAACGCUGGCGGCAUGCCUUACACAUGCAAGUCGAACGGUAACAGGUUAAGCUGACGAGUGGCGAACGGGUGAGUAAUAUAUCGGAACGUGCCCAGUCGUGGGGGAUAACGUAGCGAAAGCUACGCUAAUACCGCAUACGAUCUACGGAUGAAAGCGGGGGAUCGCAAGACCUCGCGCGAUUGGAGCGGCCGAUAUCAGAUUAGGUUGUUGGUGAGGUAAAAGCUCACCAAGCCUGCGAUCUGUAGCUGGUCUGAGAGGAAGACCAGCCACACUGGAACUGAGACACGGUCCAGACUCCUACGGGAGGCAGCAGUGGGGAAUUUUGGACAAUGGACGCAAGUCUGAUCCAGCAAUGCCGCGUGCAGGACGAAGGCCUUCGGGUUGUAAACUGCUUUUGUACGGAACGAAACGGUGAGCUCUAAUACAGUUUGCUAAUGACGGUACUGUAAGAAUAAGCACCGGCUAACUACGUGCCAGCAGCCGCAGUAA